rnacentral:lncRNA from 1 species
CCCUCCAAAUCAAAUUUUCCUUCAUUAAAAUUUUAGUGUGAUACUGUUUGGAUCCAUUUACAUAAGUAGAGCUCAUUGUGUAUUGCUUGGGUUUAAAAAACAACAAAACAAAACAAAUCAAACAAUUUAUUCUGUGAGAAAUAAGAAAUAAACCCAUUAAAAUUUACUAGCAGAUUAUUUCUAUGAAGCUUUUGCUUGCAUCAUUUCCCAAUGGAUCUAUUUUCUGCUUAUUCUCCUAGGCCCUGCAAAAUAAGGUAGAAGAAUACAGACAAAUACAAUAUAGAAUGUAUACUUUUGAAGAAGAGACUGAAAACCAAAAUAAUUCAAAAGUGUCUGCCUGAGUCAAGCAGAACAAAAUCUGUGACAUUUCAACCCAGCUGAGAUUCUGAGGAGAUUAGACUGAGCAACACUAUGGUGGACAGCAGAAUCUUCCUGCUCUCUUCCAUCCUUUUGUACCUGAGAAAAAGCAGAAGUUGUACCUGCAAAUGCAUGAAGGCAAUAAUCCUGCAGUACUCUUCCAAUAGCAUUCUGCUAUUCUGGGGAAAAAAAGAAAUCUUGUUUUGAAUGUCACUUAUUUAUUCCUUCUGAGGAUUUUUUUUCCAGUUCUUGAUAUGAAUCGGAGAAAUAAGAGUACUGUUCCUCUUGAAGCUUCAAAUGUAAUGCAUUGAUCUUUUUCACCUUUGCUACAGUUGAAUGUUUCCCUACACAUAGAGGAAUCUCACAGGAAGUGAUGCAACUGUUUUGUGCUAAGUAUGGGCUAUGUUAUGCCACAAAAAACAAGGUCUACUAAUCUAUGAGUAACUUUACACUGUUUCUGUCACACAAAUCUGAGACAGCUCCACGACUGCUGCACUACUGUAUCCUGUCAAGUAAUGUGUAGAUUUUGUUUGAAGUGCAGAAUUUAUAAGCCAAAAUAAACAGUAAAGAAGCAAUGAAAGAGCUCUGCCA